AGUACUGCUUCUUGAACAACCAAUCCAGUUUUGGAUAGAUUGUCACUAGUUGCACAGAGUGGACCCUCUACAAGAUAAGGUGGCCUCCCAUGUAAGCUUAGGAUCCGACGAACUGCAGAGUUGCCAUCUGAGUCAAGGUUACGAUUACCAUAAAGACAAGUUUCUGAGGAACUGAUGUUCUUUCUAGAGGUAAAAUCAGGAAACAGGUAGUUCUCAAAUAAAGAACGUGAUGCAGCUGCAAUUGCUUGGUGAGCUCGUUUCAAACAGACUCGGUUGAAUGAGAAGCUAAUAUCGUAUCUGUACUUUGGAUGAUGCAGUGAAUAAAAAUCUUCUUCAAACUCAACCAACACUACGUUGCUCUUCACCACCCGGUAAAGAAUACCCUGGACAGGAUUUGAGAAAACAAAUAUUCGGGAAAUUAAGGAGAUAUUUUCCGAAGAUAUUCAACCAGAAAAACAAAAUGUCUGGAUAUCCAAGGACUAGGUGACACAGUACAUUUAACUUUAUAUGGAUUCUUUCAGGAUUAACCUGUUGCUCAUCAAUGAAUACUUUCUCUCUGUAUCACAUGACUGGGAAAAGAUAAAAUGAAUUCUGAAAAGGAAAUAACAUUGUUGGCUGAUGCUUUGUUGAGCCGCUAAACAGGCCGGAUGUCCUCAAACAAAAACUAUAACAUGAUCUUACACACCGGCCUUUUGUUCCUCAUCUAAAGUUCAAACUGAGCAAUAGUUUGCAUUAAGUAGGUUUGCAGAAUUUCAAAUGGCAUAAUUUAUAAAUUAUAUUGAUAGCUGCGACUAGAAUUAUAUUCCAAAAAUUUGAAAGCAUAAGGAGAAAGAAGCAUAAAAUAGAUUCUCAAUUUGGCAGAAGAUAUGAAUAUUUAUCACUAAAAGAGAUUCUACAAAUUAUUAGUUUGAAAGAUCAGGAUACUUACUUGAAACUUCUUGGAUGUGCCACCUGAACGUUGUGCAUAAACAAAAUCUCUAGAUAAAAGAAAGGGUCGCCUCUCAGGAACAGAAUCAAUUUCAAAGGCUACAAAGAGUUUAUCAUCCGUUUCAUAACUCUCCUCCAGAUUCUUGUUCUUGAGUGACUUAUCAUAUAUUGCUGCUUUAUGCAACUCCAAUGUGACAUUGAAUAACUGAAAACCGCUCCACUUCUGAUCAAAUCAAAGCCAUUAUUAUAUCUAAACACAACUAGGAAGUAUGAUAGAAAGCACUUGGAUGAAACUGUAAUGUUUUUGGUCCGUAGACACAUCUUGCAUUCAAUCAUCUAAAACAUGUAAGAUUCCUACAAAUCACUUUUGUACCAAAUAUUGUUAUCUUCUAUGAAGAGUCGAUAUGGGCUGUAUUUACAGAGUAAGUUGCAGCUAAAGCAGUCUACAAGAGCUGCCUAUCUCUGUUAAAUUGCCUACCAACACAAAAUGCACCAAGAUUAUCAAUAACAUUGGAAUGUUACUAAUUCGGUGCUUUGACGUUUUUGCUUACUCGCAAAUCUAAACAGGCUUGUCUCGUGAAGCCUAAUUGGUAAAUCUAACGACAAACUCAGACAGAGAUAUUAGAUAUAAAAUCAUGUAUCUCCAGUAAAACAUGUUUGAUGGUUGCUAAAUACAGCACCCAUAUGAUGUUUUAUCGUAUACAAGGUAAACUCAAACAUUCCAAAGGGGGUAGUAAUGCACUAAACACAACAAAUGUGUCUUCCACCGAACAGCCACAGUACACAAUAUACGAUUGGUAGCAAUGAAGUUAUGUAUAAUGUUUAUGUAUAUGCAUAUAAAUAGAUAUACAUGUAUAUUAGGAUUCUAUCAUUUUGAGGUCAAUCAUGAUGUAUGCAUGACCUAGAAUCAAGGGAUCAAAUUUGAGUGGAAUGAUAUAAUAUCGUAAGACAUUAAGUGGUCAUUGAGUAGAAAAUCACUCCAACAAUAGUUUAACCUUAUUUAGUGAUGAUUCACUACUCUUGUAAUGCUAUAAAUGAGAGCUAAUCCACGGAGAAAGGUAGAAGAGACAAGCUAGAGACAAGUCAUUGAGCUAAAGAGUGCAAUUUGAGAGAAUUUGAGCCAAAAUUUCAAACUUAGAGGGUUCUUGCAACGUGAUCUGAGGGGAUUGUCCGGCUUUGUGAUCAUCUUCCGACCAGAAGUCAGUAGCACAACCUUAGUUUGUCGAUUUACCGCACAUAAUCCUAGUAUGUAUCUAAAUUCGGAUUUUAUGAGUUUUAUGUGUAUUCUCGCUUGCAAAUAACACACACGAAAUGAUACUAUAAAGAAUAACAUGCAAAAAGGUCACUGUUAAUACCUCAAUGUAGAAAUCCUCAGCGUACAGCAGAGCAGCAAAGUAGUCUUUGUAAGUCGAUGGAGACAAUGGCUUCUCCAAAACGUGAGGCACGAUGUCUUUCUUGAUCAAAUCUUCAAUAUCCUCAGGAAUCUUGUAAUUAGAGGCUCCCUUCUCGUCCAAUAUAUAGCGAUCAUUUUCCUGCUGAUAUUUUGAAUCAGGAGGAAGCGGAGAAAGGGUAGGCUGAGAAGAUGAAGGCGCGUUCUGAGACAAUGGAUUCUUCAAAUCUUCAGGCUCAAUAUCUUUCUUGAUCGGACUUUCAAUAUCCUUGGGAUAGUUAGCUUUCAUCUGGUCCUUUGUUGGAUUAAAGCAGGGCGGGCACGGAGUGGGCUUAGAGGACUCAGGGAUGCUCGGGGAUGAUGAUGUUGGCACGGAAGGAGAUUGAGAUGGACCACAUGAAGAUGGAGAUUGCUUAGCAGAUGAUCGAGGUUGAUCAGAAGUAAGGGGAGGUGCCACGGGUGUAGAGAACGAGGAGCGUGAUUUAGAAGAAGGAAUUGAAGGUUUAGGACUAGAAGAUGAUGGUGGAGGUUCAGUUGGAGAUACGGAUGGCUUAGAAGGAACUGAUGCAGGUUUAGGGAGUGAUGGCUUAGAGGAAAAUGGAGGUUGUGAUGUUCUAUAUUUCAAUCUCGAGGACGCUUCAUCAGUUCCUUCCAUAAACUUGUUAACAUAUUCUGAUUCAAUAGACACAGCUCCAUUCCUUUUUGUAGUUGAGCUACUAGUUGGUAAAUUCGGGUAAUAAUCGUAGUACUUGAUUUGGGUUCGAUCAGAUUGGUCUUGCCGAUCGUUAUUCUCAUAACUAGAAUUCCUAACAGAAGUGUUACGUGAAGCUGAUCCGUGUGAAGGGUCUCCCUUCGAAGUCCGCAUUUCAGUUACAUGAUCUUGGUCGCUUGAAAUGUAUCGCAAAGUUUUUGCUAACACAUACGCUGUGCAGCCCAUGACCGCCCAUUUAAACAUCCUGCGGCGAAAGCAAAAUAAAGAAGAUUGAACACCAUUAAAGAAAUCAAUAAACUCAUGCAUGACUCUGUAAGUGCUAGUAAGAUGAAACUAUCCUGAAAUCAAAAUAAGUGAAGAUCAAAAGCACGAUUGAUUACCUUCUGGUUUUUUUGUUACAGAUGAGAACACUGGAACACAACUACGCAAGUGGUUUUUUCAAUUUGAUCUUCCUUUCCAAAGAACGAAUUACACAUGAAGUAAAAAGCACUCCAACACAACUCAAGAAUCAAAAAAGUUAAAAGCUUUGCAUGGGAGAUGAAAGCAUAUUGUUUCUUACAUAGAAAGAAAACUCAACCAAGUGAGGCCACGUCAUCAUGUGGACCCAGGUGCCAUUGUAGGCCUGUGGCUGUGUGCCUGUGUAGCAUAUAAAAAGGCCAAAAAGAGGGAAGUACAUUUAUUUAAGUAUUUUACAUAUUUAUUAUUGCUUUGUUAAAGCUUCUUUAUUAAAAUUUACUUUAAUUUAUUAAAGUUUACUUUGUAUAUAUAUGAUUACACUUAUUAAAGAUUUACUAUAUAUUUAUUAUUUUAAUAAAUUUUACUUUAAUUUAUUAUUACACUUAUUAAAAUUUAUUUUGUAUAUAUGAUUACACUUAUUAAAAAUUUACUUUAUAUUUAUUAUUAUUUUAUUAAAGUUUCUUUAAUAAAAUUUAUUUUAAUUUAUUAUUAUACUUAUUAAGGUUGCCUUAUCUUUAUUGUUGUUUUAUUAAAAUUACUUUAUUAAAGUUUACUUUAUUGCUUUGUGUUUGUUAAUUCUCGAAAACAUGGACUUGAAAGAAGGAAACAUAGAAUUAUUCCACUUCUUUCAUUAUUCAUCUUCCUGCUCUCCCAACACCAAAACCUAAAUUCUAGAUCUCUCAUAGCAACAUUCUCCAAAUCUUCAAUAGAGUUAGAAAUCUUAGUUAAUUUGGAAGCUUCUUGAUUUGGUGAGUCUUUAUUACUUAUGUUUUUAUUGUUUUGAAUACAUGCUUAACUAAUAAGUAACUUGAUUCGGAGAUUAUUAACAAAUCCCUUUGAUAAGAAUACUUUUGGUUUCUCGAAUUAAAUAUGCUGGAUUGAUCCUUCCGCAUGUAAAUUGUCUUUGAGUAGCUCUAGAAGAUACUAGACUUUACUUUGGUUUAGCAUUUUUCUUCUUUGCCAUAAAUAGAUUUAACCAAAACAAAAAAAGCACGCUCAAGAAUGCACAGUCUUCUUUUGGUUUUUGUUUUUGCUCCUGUUGAUAUAUGUUCUGGAGAUUGGUCUAGCAAUCUGAACCAGAAUUCUCUCUCUGUUUGUCCGGACAGAUCUCACAGUUCUUUAAGACCAAAUGGGUCAUUUGCAUGAAUCUUUUGGUGCCAUUCCACUAUAUUCCAGUGCAGAUUCCUCGUUUAUCUUCUAACAUGAUGUUCUUUGACUAUUGAAUUUUCCUUUCUCGGUUCUUAUUCAUGUUCUUUUGGUGCUUUCCAUACUGGGUUAAUACUUUGUAGCAACCCAUUCCUUGUACAUCUUGUUGAAGUCCAAUCAAUCUCAAAUAGUUUUUCCAUUUUCUUCUCAAUGCCACUUCAACCUACAUUUAAAACCAGUGUUGACUCUUUCCAUCCUCCAUGAGCACUUCAUCAAUACUGCACUCAAAGCUUGCAACUUUUUAUUGGAUUUGUUGUCCAUUUUUAUUUGAUACAACGGAUUUAAAAUGUUGCAAAACAAUACGUCAUCUCACCUACUACAAGGUGCCUCCAAUCUUAAUCAACCCUUUCUUGGUGUUGAGGGCUUUCUUUCUAGUAUAUCCGUCAUUCACACUUAGUUUGGGAUUGUUAGAGAAAGCUUAUUAAGUGACUAUGAAGAUUAAAGUGUUUUGAGUUAAUUCCUUCUGCUUAUUUUAAAGGACUUGAAUGUUUAUGUUAGCAAUUCACAUUUCUAUCACCUCUGUUGUAUUAUCAUCUUUGACAAUAACAGGAGUAUAAAAUUUCAUAAUGCAGGUUGCAACAAAAAAGAAAACUAUUUCAGACGAAGCUGCUGUAAUCUUGCAGGCAAAACUGAAGCAGUUAGCACCUGCUAGUUCCUCCUGAUUGCUGUAAUAUUUUAUUUAAUUAUUCAAUUUAUGGCUUCGGGAAAGAACUGCUUUGUAAAACUGUCAGUGUGAAACUUAAGGUCUUUUAUCUGCAUAACAAGUCGAGUGCUUGUUUUUCUGUGCUUUGUUUCAUUCAGAAUCCGGGAUGGUCUUCUCAGCUGAAAUCAAAUCAGACUUGGAUGUAGGCAUUCAGAUAUAUCAAUGUUGACAUGUAAUACACAGUGGGACGAUACUUUUAUUACCUUUACAAAUUAGUUGCGGUAAUCAUGUUUUUCACAUUCUACCUCUUGCCCCACCUUGUUUCUUCUGGUUUUUCAAGUUGAAUAUGGUUACAUCAUUUCGUUUAUCUAUCCCUUGUUUUGCUUUGCUAUAUCAUUUAUAUUCAUGCCAACUGCUGGUAGUAUCAUUUGGAGACUAAGUAAAACAAAUUAGAAGGUUAGAACUUCCAAAUUUGAAACAUUGUAUGUCAUGGUACAUCGGCUCUAAGCUGCUGCGUCAUGUCGUUCAAGCAAUCUCAAGGAUGGAGAGACCAAUCAAAUACAAGUACAAAAGCAACAGAUCGGAAGCAAUGUUCUUGCAUUCACACAAUUAUACGAAUUAGAAUUUAGGAUAAUAACAUAGAGAUAAAAUUUCGUCUCAAAGUUAAUUAAUCACCUCAAUGUAGAAAUCCUCAGCACAUAGUCGAGCAGCAAAGUAAUCUUUGUAGGUAGAUCAAGAAACAAUUACUUUUUCAAAACUUCCUGCUCAAUAUCUUUCUUGACCACACUUUUAAGGAUGAUGAAGUUGGCAUGGUGGGAGAUUGAGAUGGACGACGUGAAGAUGGAGAUGGCUUAGCUGACAAUCGAGGAUGAUCAGAAGUAAAUGGAGGUGCUGCAAGUGAAGGCACAGAUUGACAAAAAGAAGAAGAUGCAGGCGUAGAGAGUGAUGAGGAUGUUUCGUAAGAAGGAAUUGAAGUUUUGGGACCAGAAGAUGAUGGGGGAGCUUCAGCUGGAGAUAGAAGUAGCUAAGAAGAAGCUAAUGCAGGUUUAGGGAAUGGUGGCUUAGAUUGAUGUGAUUUUGGUGAAGAUGGAGAUGGCUUGGAGAAAACUGAAGGGGUUAAUGUUGUAGAGUUCAAUCUUGUGGAAGCUUCAUCAGUUCCUUCCGUAGACUUGUUAACAUAUUCUGAUUGAAUAGACUUAGCACUGGAGGGGUUAAUGUUGUCAAGUCCAAGAUGAAACUAUCUUGACAUUACAAUAAAUGAAGAUCAAAAGCAAGAAUGAUUCCCUUCUGGUUCUUUUACAGAUGGGAAUGCCCGAACAAGACUACAAGAGCUAUUUUUUCUUUUUUAAUUUUUCCCCCCUUUCCAAAGAACGUUUUUGUAUGUAAAAGUAAAGCACCCAAGUCAAUCUCGAUAAUCCAACCAAAAGUUAAAGCGUUGCUUGAGAGAUGAGAGCAUAUUUGAUUCAUGCAAAUGAAGUAAACCCAAACAAGUGAGGCCACGUCAUCAUGUGUUUCCAGAUGCCAUGGCAGACAAGACAUGUGGAAAAUAUAGAAAGACUGCAAGGCUCUUAUUAACUCCCACUUCCAUACUGCCAAAUGUUAUCCUUCUCAGGGAUUAAGAAAAAAUGAAUAAGAUGCCGACUUUUAAGAUAAGUCCAACCGGAAAGCUUCUUUUGGGGCACGAUUCUUAUUCUGAUUCACCCUCUUGCGGGUCCCUAAUCCGUAAUUAAAGAUAUAAAAGAUUCUAACAUCAAAACAUCAUUGCACAACUUUUAAAAGAUUUUAAUAUAUAUUGAUGUUGAGAAAUUCAUAUUGAACUCACUGUACAGGCUCAGAUCGUGCUGUCUUCUCCACUAAAACAAAUUCAGUUGUUGAGGUCGUUUUUGGGCAUCAACAUCUUGGUGCCGUCUGUGGAGACCAAUACAAAAAGCCACACGGAAGAAAUUUAAAUGGCCAAACAGAAAAAUGGUGGGCAUGCGACCACUAUAUGCAAAGGCUGUAUUUCGAAUCGACAAAAAAUGGAGUGAUUAAUAGAACGACCUCAGGAUAAUAAUUGAUCAUAUUACACCCAUUGAUGAUUUAUUAACGGAUCCUGGUAUUAAUUUCAUUAUUGCAUUAUUUUUGUUUUUCUUCUAUCCUCACAGAAAGUUCUAAGUGUCGUUUCUUUAGUACUAUUACAUCCCUCUAAAGGACUGAUUAAAAUCCUUUGGCUUAUUUUUUUUUAAGGAAUUUCAUAUUAUUAUUAUGGAUAGUUUAUUUUUAAGUAGGCCAUCAGAGGAACAAAAUUGUUAGCAAGCUGAGAACAAAGUCUCAUAUUAACAUCCAUUGUGGAAUGGUUAUGUUGUUUGAACAACCUCAAUUCAUUUGUGUUGCUAGUUCUAUUGUUUGGUGUCCCGUACGAGAAUUCUCAACACCACAAAGUUUCAAGAAUUUUAUGGAAACUAAAUACCAAACGCACCACAGAAGAGGAUUUCAGCAAGCAGUCGGUGUCGACAGGCUAGACUCGGGAACUUUUGGAAUUUUGUAAGGUGAUUGCCUACAAUGAAGCCUAUUUGAUGAGACCCGAUCAGAUUAAAAUCUAGCCCAGAGCUGUUGGAUGAAAUAUGCAAAAGAAGUUAAAAGACAACAAAGAACUACCUCAGGUGCAUUUGUUCUAAACUUCAUGCAUAAUAUUUUCACUUAAAAGGUUACUGUUUAGUUAGUUUCAAAUCUCUACUAGACUAAUUUAUUAUGGUAUUGGUUGGUCGAUCUAUUUGCCUUGAUUUGAUAAAGACGAGUAAAGCUCUAGCUCUACAAUUUUUAUAAAUCUUGUUUAUGCAUCAGAGCUAUAGUAACAAAAGGCUUAACAUGAUAUCCGAAAAAUGACCAUUUUACAGAACUGAUUUAGACUGCUCAUCCAAAUUCUAAAUGCGUGAAAUUAUAUUGUCUUUAACAUUAUAGUACCUGAAUGUCUGGAACUUGUCUUAGGCAAUAUAGCGAUUGCAUAUUGUGGUUACGCAUAUAAAUUUAUUUGCUCAAGAGAACUCUGCCCAGAAGCCAAGGAUUGAAAUCCAGGUUCUGUUUCAAUUUAUUCAAUAUGAGCAUGAAAUUAUUUGAAGAGCAUGAAUUAUAUAUACAUUGUUAAUCGAUGCUCAAUUACUACUUUUUCGUGUGAAAAUAUUAUAUAUUAGCUAUGGUAAUGAAUGGUUUUAAUUGACAUUACAUAAUUUCCAAUGACUCUUGAAAAGUGCUAGAAGUAUGAAAAGCAAAUAGCACAAAUUGUUUAAGGCCAAGUGUUGGUCAUGGCUGAUUUUAAAAGUUGACAGACGAAAGAACUUUGAUGUAAAAGUUACAGAGCACAACUUCACAAGUUUGUGAAAGCCAAUAAGGUGUAUAUAUAUAUGGGGGAAUUAUUAGAUCCACCUAUACAUGGAUGUUUGUAUGCUUGGAUGCUUAAUUUUAGAAAGCAAAUUCAAGCCAAUAAGGUGUGUGUAUAUAUAUAUAUAUAUAUAUAUAUAUAUAGAGGAAUUAUUAUAUCCACUUGUACAUGGAUGUUUGUGUGACUGGAUGCUCAAUUUUAUAAUGCAAAUUUAAGUUCUAUUAUCUUAUGGCAUACACAUGUAUUUUCAAAUAUGCGGAUAAUCAACAUUGUAUUUGGUAUAACUUCGAAGAGAAAAUAAGCCAAGCCAUGAAAUUUUAGAGACUUGUUAUAGUCUUAUGAAGCAUAAAUUCUGAGUUUUUCAUGGUUCUUAGCAUCAUUUGAGGUAGAAAACUCUUUUAGCAAAUCAGAUGAGAUAUGGAUAACAAUUGAAGCCCCAGCGAAUAAUUUCACAAUCUUCAGCGCUUGUUUAGUUACUCUAUUAAAAGAAUCAACUAGCUCAUAUUAGGAAAAUUCUUCAUCGGUAUGUUCAUAUUUUGAUUUCGUAUAAUUGUCGUCUAAUGUGUUCAGCUUGGGUUUGAUUUGCUAGCCUUAUUGAGGUCCAGUUAGACUUUGAUAUCAGUGGCCUUGUUGAGGUCGACUUCGACAUCUACAUAUUUGAUUCUACAACUUGAGAUCUACAUCUACAUAUUUGAUUACAAUUUGCGAUCUGCAGCUACAUAUUUGAUUCUAUAAUUUGCUAUCUACGACUACAUAUUUGAUUCUACAUUUUGAGGUUACAUCUACAUAUUUGAUUCUACAAUUUUGAGAUAGAUAUCUACAUAUUUGAUUUCUCAACAUUGAAUUUUGUGGUCUUGUUGAGAUCCACUUUGACUUUUGCAUUUGAUUCUACAAUUUAAUUAUAUAUUUUGAGAUUGACAUCUACAUAUUGAGAUCAAGAUCGCUAUCUUGGCCUUAUUGAGGUCCAAUUGAUUUUAUUCUGCUAGCCUUAUUGAGGUCUAGCUUAAUAAAUUGUUUUGGCAUUAUCGAGGUCUAGCGUGAAUAAAUUAUAUGAUUCGGUCUUAUUAAAAUCGAUGUUGCUGUCUGGGCCUUAUUGAGGUCUAGCUUGAUAAUUUUUUUUUUUUUGCCUUGUUGAGGUCCAAUGUGAAUAAAUUAUAUGAUUCGGUCUUAUUGAGAUCGAAGCCGCCAUUUUGGCUUUAUUAAGGUUUUAUUGAUUUUGUUCUGCUAGCCUUAUUGAGUAGCUUGAUAAAUUGUCUAGGCCUUAUUAAGGUCAAUUUGAUUCUGUUCUGCUAGCCUUGUUGAGGUCUAGCUUGGUAAAAUAUUUUUGCCUUAUAGAGGUCCAAUUGAUUUAUUUUCCUAGCCUUAUUGAGGUUGACAUUUACAUGUUUUAAUUUUGUAAUUUGAGAUCGACCUCCACAUGUUUAAUUCUAUAUGUUAAGGUUGAUAUCUUCAAAUUUUGUUCUACAUGUUUAACUCUACAAUUUGAGGUCAACAUCUACAUAUUUGAUUCUACAAUCUGAGGUCAAUAUUUACAUAUUUGAUUCUACAUUUUGAGAUUAAAUUUAUAUAUUUGAUUCUAUAUUUUGAGAGGCUGGAGGGAUUUUAUUUUUCUAUUUUUUUUUAAGUUUCCAACACCGAUUAUGUCUUCUCGGUAUUGAAAACGAGGGGACUGAUGUUGAUAGGCAGUUUUUAUCCAAACUAAAUCAUUAUUGGUGGUAUAUUGAUCCUAGAAUUAAGGAGUUGAUGGCUCCAUUACCACAUAAAAAGGAGAAAAUGGCCAACUAUCUAGAGGGGGACAAUAUAAGGUAAAAAUAGAGAGAGAGUGGGGGGAGGAACCUUGGGGAUGAUAAUUGGAGAACACGUUGCAUGGCAUUGGGAUGUUGAGAAAUUCAUAUUGAACUCACUGUACAGGCUCAGAUCGUGCUGUCUUCUCCACCAAAACAAAUUCAGUUGUUAGGUCGUUUUUCGGCAUCAACAAUUUUGGGGCACGAUUUUUAUUCUGAUUCACCCUCUUGCGGGUCCCUAAUCCGUAAUUAAAGAUAUAAAAGAUUCUAACAUCAAAACAUCAUUGCACCCAUCAGAAGCAUGCCUCCAAAUCCAAUCUCAGUCGUCAAGAUAAUUCUACUGGCAAAAAUUGAAGUACACAAGUUCUAUUCUGAUAAUUACAACAGAACUAAUCUUUGUCGUAGCAUAAGAACAUAAUUAAUAAUCCAGGGAUGGAGUACUGUGACCUGUAUACAAUUUAUGAAGAUUUUAAUUUUUGUUAAUCUAGGGGAAUGAAAGCAAUCAAUCAUCGCGGAAUUGGACUGCAUGAAUUAGACAGAGCAACAAGUGCAAAAGCAACGGAUCGAAGAAAUGUUCUUACAUUCACGCAUUUACAACAAGGCACAGUAGUAACAAACUCAUGAGAAGUAAACUAAGUUCUAAUAGAGGCUAUUGUUACCGCAGUACUCAAAAGUUUACAGCAUAGUAAUGAACGUCGGAUCAAAAUUGCUAUAGGUCUGGGUGGCAUGAAGUCUUUCAAAAUACGACACCCUUAAUCCCGUCUUCCUAGCAAUAUCGGAGCGGACCCAACUCGUGCGGUUAUUGGGAGCACCGGUGAGUAUCACGGUCGUGUUCUCAUUAGCCAAAUUUGUGAGAGCUAUCAUUGUCUCCGGUUCAGUAGCAGAUGAGGCAUCAAGAAGAAAAAUGUGACUAAAAUGCCCAGCAGGUAUGCCCUCGUUGUGGAGGCGAAAGCUGCUUGUAAAAGUUGAGAAUAUUACCCUGAAUUGUAUCAAUUCCUGAAGUGAAGGCAAUUGAAAACAUUCCCCCCCUUCAUAAAGGCACAAGGGGAGGAUGUCAACUAGUACCCCAUCUACCUCUCUGAAUGCAGCGUUGGCUCGAAACAUAUCAGACUUUGGAAUCUGCUUCUUCAAACUUCUCAUUAGUACAUCACCUGUUCUAUUUAUAGGAGCACAGACUAGAAUUCGACACUUACAUGACCUCUUAUAAAUUUCAAGUACUGCUUCUCGAACAACCAAUCCAGUUUUGGAUAGACUGUCACUAAUUACACAGGGUGGACCCUCUACAAGAUAAGGUGGCCUCCCAUGUAAGCUUAAGAUCCGACGAACUGCAGAGUUGCCAUCUGAGUCAAGGUUACGAUUACCAUAAAGACAAGCUUCUGACGAACUGAUGUUCUUUCGAGCGGUAAAAUCAGGGAAAAUGUAGUUCUCAAAUAAAGAACGUGAUGCAGCUGCAAUUGCUUGGUGAGCUCGUUUCAAACAGACUCGGUUGAAUGAGAAGCUAAUAUCGUAUCUGUACUUUGGAUGAUGCAGUGAAUAAAAAUCUUCUUCAAACUCAACCAACACUACGUUGCUCUUCACCACCCGGUAAAGAAUACCCUGGACAGGAUUUGAGAAAACAAAUAUUCGGGAAAUUAAGGAGAUAUUUUGCGAAGAUAUUCAACCAGAAAAACAAAAUGUCUGGAUAUCCAAGGACUAGGUGACACAGUACAUUUAACUUUAUAUGGAUUCUUUCAGGAUUAACCUGUUGCUCUCAAUGAAUACUUUCUCUCUGUAUCACAUGACUGGGAAAAGAUAAAAUGAAUUCUGAAAAGGAAAUAACAUUGUUGGCUGAUGCUUUGUUGAGCCGCUAAACAGGCCGGAUGUCCUCAAACAAAAACUAUAACAUGAUCUUACACACCGGCCUUUCGUUCCUCAUCUAAAGUUCAAACUGAGCAAUAGUUUGCAUUAAGUAGGUUUGAAUUAAGUAGGUUUGCAGAAUUUCAAAUGUCAUAAUUUAUAAAUUAUAUUGAUAGCUGCGACUAGAAUUAUAUUCCAAAAAUUUGAAAGCAUAGGGAGAAAGAAGCAUAAAAUAGAUUCUCAAUUUGGCAGAAGAUAUGAAUAUUUAUCACUAAAAGAGAUUCUACAAAUUCUUAGUUUGAAAGCUCAUGAGACCUACUUGAAACUCCUUGCCGUUGCUGCCUGAACGUCGAGCGUGGACAAAAUCUCUAGAUAAUAGAAAUGGUCGUCUCUCAGGAACAGAAUCAAUUUCAAAGGCUACAAAGAGUUUAUCAUCCUUCUCAUCACUCUCCUCCAGAUUCUUGUUCUUGAGUGACUUAUCAUAUAUUGCAGCUUUAUGCAACUCCAAUGUGACAUUGAAUAACUGAAAACCGCUCCACUUCUGAUCAAAUCAAAGCCAUUAUUAUAUCUAAACACAAUUAGGAAGUAUGAAAGAAAGCACUUGGAUGAAACUGUAAUGUUUUUGGUCCGUAGACGCAUCUUGCAUUCAAUCAUCUAAAACAUGUAAGAUUCCUUUUGUACCAAAUAUUGUUAUCUUCUAUGAAGAGUCGAUAUGGGCUGUGUGUACAGAGUAAGUUGCAGCUAAAGCAGUCCACUAGGGCUGCCUAUCUCUGUUAAAUUGCCUACCAACACAAAAUGCACCAAGAUUAUCAAUAACACCAGAAUGUUACUAAUUUGGUGCUUUGAUGUUUUUACUUACUCGCAAAUCUAAACAGGCUUGUCUCGAGAAGCCUAAUUGGUAAAUCUAGCGACAAACUGAGACAGAGAUAUAAAAUAUAAAAUCAUGUAUCUCCAGUAAAACAUGUUUGAUGGUUGCUAAUUACAGCACCCAUAUGAUGUUUUAUCGUAUACAAGUUAAGCUCAAACAUUCCGAAGGGGGUAGUAAUGCACUAACCACAACAAAGGUGUCUUCCACCGAACAGCCACAGCACACAAUAUACGUUUGGUAGCAAUGAAGUUAUGUAUAAUGUAUAUGUAUAUGUAUAUGUAUAUAAAUAGAUAUGCAUAUAUAUAUAUUAGGGUUCUAUCAUUUUGAGGUCACUCAUGAGGUAUGCUUGACCAAGAAUCAAUGGAUCAAUUUUGAAUGGAAUGAUAUAAUAUCCUAAGAUAUUAAGUGAUCAUUUAGUAGAAGAUCACUCCAACAAUAAUUUAACCUUAUUUAACGAUGAUCACGGAGAAAGGUACAAGAGACAAGCUAGAGACAGACCAUUGAGCUAAGGAAUGCAAUUUGAGAGAAUUUGAGCCAAUAUUUCAAGCAUAGAGACAAGCCAUUGAGCUAAAGAGUGCAAUUUGAGAGAAUUUGAGCUAAGAUUUCAAGCUUAGAGGGUUCUUGCAACGUGAUCUCAGGGAAUUUUCCGGCUUUGUGAUCAUCUUCCGACCAGAAGUCAGUAGCACAACCUUAGCUUGUCGAUUUACCGCACAUAAUCUGAGUAUGUAUCUAAAAUCGAAUUUUAUGAGUUUUAUGUUGAUUCUUGCUUGAAAAUCAACAUACACGAAAUGAUACUAGAAAGAAUAACAUGCAAAAAGGUCACUGUUAAUUAAUCACCUCAAUGUAGAAAUCCUCAGCGUACAGCAGAGCAGCAAAGUAGUCUUUGUAAGUCGAUGGAGACAAUGGCUUCUGCAAAACGUCAGGCACGAUGUCUUUCUUGAUCAAAUCUUCAAUAUCCUCAGGAAUCUUGUAAUUAGAGGCACCCUUCUCGACCAAUAUAUAGCGAUCAUUUUCCUGCUGAUAUUUUGAAUCAGGAGGAAGCCGAGAAAGGGUAGGCUGAGAAGAUGAAGGCGCCUUCUGAGACAAUGGAUUCUUCAAAUCUUCAGGCUCAAUAUCUUUCUUGAUCGGACUUUCAAUAUCCUUGGGAUAGUUAGCUUUCAUCUGGUCCUCCGUUGGAUUAAAGCAGAAUGGGCACCGAGUGGGCUUAGAGGACUGAGGGGCUUUUGGGAAUGAUGCGCCCUUCGGAACCCGUGUAUUAUUAGAUUUCAUCUGCUCAUUUGUUGGAUUAAAGCAGAGUGGACACUGAGUGGGCUUAGAGGACUCAGGGGUGCUCGGGGAUGAUGAAAUUGGCACGGAGGGAGAUUGAGAUGGACCACAUGAAGAUGGAGAUUGCUUAGCAGAUGAUCGAGGUUGAUCAGAAGUAAGGGGAGGUGCCACGGGUGUAGAGAACGAGGAGCAUGCUUUAGAAGAAGGAAUUGAAGGUUUAGGACUAGAAGAUGAUGGUGGAGGUUCAGUUGGAGAUACGGAUGGCUUAGAAGGAACUGAUGCAGGUUUAGGGAGUGAUGGCUUAGAGGAAAAUGGAGGUUGUGAUGUUCUAUAUUUCAAUCUCGAGGACGCUUCAUCAGUUCCUUCCAUAAACUUGUUAACAUAUUCUGAUUCAAUAGACACAGCUCCAUUCCUUUUUGUAGUUGAGCUACUAGUUGGUAAAUUCGGGUAAUAAUCGUAGUACUUGAUUUGGGUUCGAUCAGAUUGGUCUUGCCGAUCGUUAUUCUCAUAACUAGAAUUCCUAACAGAAGAGUUAAGUGAAGCUGAUCCGUGUGAAGGGUCUCCCUUCGAAGUCUUACUUUCAGUUCCAUGAUCUUGGUCGCUUGAAAUGUAUCGCAAAAUUUUACCUAACACAUACACUGCGCAGCCUAUGAACAUCCACUUAAACAUCCUGCGGCGAAAGCAAAAUAAAGAAGAUUGAACAGCAUUAAAGAAAUCAAUAAACUCAUGCAUGACGCUGUAAGUGCUAGUAAGAUGAAACUAUCCUGAAAUCAAAAUAAGUGAAGAUCAAAAGCACGAUUGAUUACCUCCUGGUUCUUUUGUUACAGAUGAGAAUACUGGAACACAAGUACACAAGUGGUUUUUCAGUUUAAUCUUCCUUUCCAAAGAACGACUUACACACAGUAUAAAAGGCACUCCAACACAACUAAAGAAUCCAGAAGUUAAAAGCUUUGCAUGGGAGAUGAAAGCAUAUUGUUUCUUGCAUAGAAAACUCAACCAAGUGAGGCCACGUCAUCAUGUGGACCCAGGUGCGGCAUAUAAAAAGAGUGGAUGAGAGUUGUCAGUAAGCUGAAAAAGUUUUUUUUUUUAAUUUAAAAAGAGUGCGGCAUAUAAAUUUUUUAAUUUUAUUUAACCUAUAAAAAGUUUUAAUUUAACAAGACUGAAAAAGGUUGGGAAAUUUACACCAAUAGCCAUAAAAAUUUUGACUUUUUUCAUCUUAACCCCCAAACAAACUUCUAUCAACAUUAGCCAUAAAAAAAUCUUUGAGACCAAAAUACCCCUCUCUCUCAUCUCCAUAAUGUUGGUGAGCUUGCCUUGGCGCAACAACUCGCCGAUUCUGUCAAGCCUUUAAAUCAGCCAUGGCGGCAGUAGAAACACGCUCCAUUUCGGAAAUGGCGUCGUCAGAGAUUUUGGACUCGGUUUCACUGACCUCGUAAUCUUCAAGAUCAGAGAAGCUCGCUCUGUCUCGGACUUCCCUACGUGGGCUGCCGGAAGAGCAUCUGUUGGAGCCCGUUGCCUGGAAGUGUUGGUGCGACAGGCGCCUGUCGCACCAAGUGUUGGUGCGACAGGCGCUUCGGAAAUGGCGUCGUCAGAGAUUUUGGACUCGGUUUCACUGACCUCGUAAUCUUCAAGAUCAGAGAAGCUCGCUCUGUCUCGGACUUCCCUACGUGGGCUGCCGGAAGAGCAUCUGUUGGAGCCCGUUGCCUGGAAGUGUUGGUGCGACAGGCGCCUGUCGCACCAAAACUUGGUGGUUCUUUCUACCCCUUGACCCUUCAGGCGAGUUCUCCCUCUCUUCCUUCUCCACCUUGACCACCACUCUGGAAGUGUCUUCCUUUUGUUCUGUAGAGAAACCGUAGCUUUCCAAAUCAAUAAUUAGUUGAUUACCAGUAGGAAGGAACUUGCUAGCUUCCUCCAUUCCUUUCUUGAACUGCAGGAUAGACUCCCUAUCACUAAGCAUGUUCUGAGCCAGAAACUCGUUCACAGAACUCAUCAACCCACUGCCAAUAGUAGUCAUGCUAUCUGGUGGGUUGACAGAAAAUUGCGAACUAUGCUGCUGUGAAUUGGACUUCGAAUGGUAAUCCUCAGGUAAAGGGUUUCGUAAAAAAGAGCCAUUAAAUUCUGCAGUAUCACCAACCAACAGUGAUUCGACAAAAUCACUGCCGCCGCUACUGGUGCUACUAACAGCACCAGAAUCACUAUUAAAAUCACUGCUAUUAUUAGAAAAUAUAUUGCUUUUCUCACCACUCCCGGAAUUCAGGUAGACAUAGGGUUGAGGUUGAUUAAGUGAUGGAGGAUAGUAUGGCUGCCGCUCACCAAGUACUUCAUACAACGAUCUCUCAGUGGCUUGUAAAGCCAACGGAUCAUAAAACAUACACGGCUUCUCCUCCAUUUUCUCUUCCAUGAGCAUCUGGCUUAUGUACUUGAGAACUGGGUUUGAAGAAUCACUGUCAUCCGAGGGAGAGGAAGCCUCUCCUUCCGGACUCCAGCCUGAGGACCGAGCAAAGGAGCUUCCAUCCGGGCUUAAACUCGUAGAGGCGCCCAAAGAUUCUAAGUCUGGACUCGCAGUUGAGGAUGGAGUGAUGAUACCAGGAUCAGGAUUAAGGGGAUUAAAAGGGAUAUCUAAAAAGUUUAGAUCAGGUGAGGGAAUAGUGAACUUGAAUCCAUUUUCAGUAUUUGAGUACUGAUUUGCAUUUGGUACAACGGUUUCAUCAUCAACUUUGAAACCACUAAUGAAAUCAGAAAACCGAUUGGAAUUUGGAUCCAUGGAAAUCGCAACAGCCAAAAGCCUCAACUCUAAAUCUAAGUUCAAAAUAAAAUAAUGGAGAUACAAAUGCAUGACGGUGACAAGCUGCUAAUUCAUAAACUGUGUACGUAUUUUGUGUAGGGUUUUGAGUUUUUUAAGUACGUACUAAAUUACUCUUAUAGGAAAUAUAUGGUUGUUGAUUGAUUAGGCUACUUAACUGCGUCUAACUAGCUAGGGCUCAAAGUAAUCCGACGCCGCCGACGAUGGGAGGUUCUUCGGUUUGGGAGAGAUGGGAGAAAGAGAGAUUGUUGGGGGAGAGAUGAGAGAGAGGGGUAUUUUGGUCUCAAAGGCUUUUUUAUGGCUAAUGUUGAUAGAAGUUUGUUUGGGGGGUUAAGAUGGAAAAAGCCAAAAUUUUUAUGGCUAUUGGUGUAAAUUUCCCAAAAAGGUUCCACUUCUAUACUGCCACACACGUCUCUUAUUCUUCCCCGGGUUAAUUAAUUAGAUGCCAACUUUUAAAUUAAGUCCAACCAAAAAGCUAAUUUUGUGGCAUGAUAUUCUCUCAUCCCAUAAUAUGCUUAUUCUGAUUAACCCUUUUGCGGUUCUUAAUCCUUAUUCCUUAACAAACGAACUAAAAGAUUCUAACAUCAAAACAUCAUUUCACCCAUUAAAAGACGCCUCCAAAAUCCAAAUCCAAUCUUGAUUAGGGAUGGUAAAUUGGUCCAUCCAAAUUAGAUAUCUAUAUAUCCAAUCUAAUUGAAUUGGAUAAUAUCCAUCCAAAAUUUUUUGGAUAUGGAUAUGGAUAUUUUUAAAAAUAUUCAAUUAGAUAUUGAAUGGGUAUAAAUAUUUAAUGGAUAUUCAAAAUCUAAUUAAUUUAUCUAUUUAAAGUUAAAAAAAUUUAUAUUGUUAAACUAAAAUAUAAAAAAAACAAAAUCUAAUUUUCUCUUAUAUUAACUAGUGAAAAAUUUAAAUUCCUCUUAUAUUAAAAACUAAAGUUUUCAAAAUUACCCUUUAAUUUUUUAACUUAUUUAAUACUAUUAAUAAUUAUUAUUUUAUUUUAUUGAUUUAAUAUUAUAAAUGGACCUCCACCGGAAAGUCGCCGGACCACCGUCGGUUUUGCCCGGAACGUCGCCGGACCGCCGCCACCGGCCACCGAACCACCAUUUUAUUUUUUUAUAUAUAUUAUUACUAAUAUAAAUAGUUUAAAAGCCAAAUUUGAUAUUGGAAUUUUAACUAUUUUAUUUUUAUAUAAUAAAAAUAAAAUAUCCAUGGAUCUCCAUAACUAUAUGGAUAAAAUCUAUAUCCAUAUCUAAUAUUAAAUAUUGGAUAUGAAUAUAUCCAUUAUGGAUAAUUAUAGAUUUGUGUUUGGAUGGAUAUUAUCCAUCCAUAAUUGAAUAUUUGUCAUCCCUAAUCUUGAUCGACAAGAUGAAUCUACUGGCAAAAGAUGCCUCCAAACCAAUAUUGGUGGUUAUGAUACUUCUACCGGAAAAAUCGAAGUAGUCAGCCCGCUCAAGCGCAUGAGUUCUAUUAUGAUAGUCAGAACAGAACUAAAAUGGAGACAGAAAAUGCAACGACCUGCACACAAUUUAUGAAGAUUUCAAUUUUUGUUGAUACAUGAGAAAGAAAACAUUCAAUCAUCAUGGAAUGCAUGAACUAGAUAGAGCAACAAGUACGAAAAUAACAAAUCAAUUAAUCUUGCAGUCAGACAAUUACAACAAGGCAUUGUACCAAAUUCACGAGAGGAAAACUAAGUUAUUUAGAGGUUGCUGUUGCUGCAAUAGCAGAUAAGAUUUACGACAACAGAAGGAUAAAAGAGUUCAUCUCAAAGUUUACACCAUUGUAAUGAACAUUGGGUCAGAACUGCUAUAGGCCUCGGUCACACGAAGUCUCUCAAAAUAUGACAUCCUUAACCAAUUAUUCCGAGCAAUAUCAGUGCAGAACCAACUUGUACUGUAAUAUCUCAAUUCUCUUAAUGGUAUUUUAGUCUUUUCAAUUUGUUAGUGAUAUUUGUAUUUUAGUAUAAAAAGAAUAAGAUGCUUUGUCUUUAUCAUUGAAGAGAGAGAAAGAGAUUGGCUAAAAAAAAGAAAGAAAGAAAGAAAGAAAGAAAGAAGAAGAGAAGAAGUCUUCUUCGUCGUAUAGCCAUAAGCAACACAUAAGAUUAAAGUUGUGUAAUUUGAAUUUGAUAUUAUGUUGGGAGAAGAUUGGAGGUAAAUUUUAAUUCUUGGUUUUUGUUAAUUUAUUAUGAAGAAGUAUGAUUAGAUAAUUGUAGUAGAAGUAGAAACUUAAAAUUUUACAGAAAAUAUGUUGACAAUGAGUUAUUUCGAAAAUCAUAGUAAUUUGUACAUAUUGAUUUUGAUUCUUGAUUUUGGAUAUAUUAAAUCAGACAUCUUCAAGAAUGUUUUGAAGUUUGUUUCGACCAAUCAUAUAAGAAUUCAAUUUAUUACGAUUUUUUUAACUCAAGUCCAAAAACUUGAGAAUUUCUAAUUUCAGUGAAGAACAUGAAUUACGAAACUAUUUUACCGUAGCUAUAUUUAUUAAAAAAUGAUGAAAUUUGGACUAGUGAUUUUUAUGUAUGUCUAGAGUGAUUUAGGAAAAUUUCAUCAUUUUAUGAUAAAACAAUAAAUUGUUUUGUAUUUUUAAAAGAAAUAUGUUCAAAACAGAAAACUAUUUGACAUAAUUGAUAAUGUUUGAAAUGUAAUUAUUGCAAAAGUUUUUGAAGGAAUUAAGCUAUGAAGGUUUAAGCAUUGAAUUUCUAUUAUGUCAGCAUAUGCCUUGUAAAAUUUGAUGAUAUUAGAGUUUAUGAUUAUAAUUUGAUUAUAUGUGAUCAGAGUUUUGUUAAUGAUUUUUAGGUCGAUUAUAUCAAUAUGCAUUUUUUAUAUGUGGAUGCCAAGACAUAAGUAAACUAAACUUCUAAAUGAAUCAUAAUAAACAAUAUGUACAUAUUUGAAAAUUUUUAAAAAUCUAUAUUUGAUAUGUACGGAUAUGAAUUUAUAUGAUUUUGCCUAUUUAUUUACGUGAUGUGUUGUUAUGUGUUUAGCGAAAUUAUGCGGACAGCAUAAAGUAUAUGCGAGAGUUCAUUGGCACAAGAAUGAAUAUGCAUUAAGUUUUGUAUGAAAUGAGAAAGUGGACAAUAUCUUUCUUGAUUAGACUUUCAAUAUCCUUAGGGAUCAUGUAAAUAGGUGAUGUCCCUUUUCUGAAUCCAUGUAUAUUUAGCUUUCUUCUAUUGAUUUGUUAGAUUAAAGCUGAGUGAAGAUAGAGUGGGCUUACAGGACUGAGGAGGUUUUUGGGAUGAUGAAGUUGGCAUGGAAGGAGAUUGAGAUAAGCCACAUAAAGAUGCAGUUGACUUAGAUGAUGAUCAAGGUUGAUCAGAAGUCGAUGAAGAUGCUACAGGUCUAUAGAAUAGUGAAGUUGCUGGUGAUCGAGGUUGACCAGAAGUGGACAUGCUGCAGGUCUAUAGAAUGGUGAAGACGCUGAGGAUCGAGGUUAAUCAGAACUAAGUGGAGAUGCUGCAGGUCUACAGAAUGAUGAAGAUGCCGAUGUUCGAGGUCGAUCAGAAGUAAGUGGAGAUGCUGCAGGCCUAGAGAAUGGUGAAGAAGCUGAUGAUCGAGGUUGAUCAGAACUAAGUGGAGAUGCUACAGGUCUAGAGAACGAUGAAGAUUCUGCAGGUCUAGAGAACGAUGAAGAUGCUUCAUUAUUCUCAAGACUAGAAUUCCUAACAGAAGUGUUGUAGGAAGGUGAUCCGAGUGAAGGGUCUAUCUCUGAAGUCUCAUUACUAGUUCCAUGAUCUUGGUCCUUGAAAAUGUACAGCAAAAUUUUGCCUAAUGCACACACACUGCCGGACAACAUCAACUUAUACGUCUUGGUGAGCAAGAAGAAACAAUGAAGUUACUGUGUAAUGCAUUUAAUCAAAUUGACAUUAUCCAAAUGAUGAAAAUCAGAAACUGAAGUUUCUCUGUAACCAAGAUUACUUAUAGUGGAAAUCAGGGGGGCCAAUUAGAGGAUAAAUGAACCCAUCAAAAUUUUGUUGAUUAGUAAUGUAAGAGAAUUUUAAACAUCAUUUGAUAAAAUUUAAGCAAUCAUACUGAACCAAAGUGCAUGAGAAAAUGUAAAAUCGUAUUAUAUUAGUACAAGUUAAUUGAAUGUUAAAAGUAUGUGGACAGAAGAUUAAGCUCCCCUAAAAACAGAAGAACUAGCAAUCAAAUAAAGCAUGCAUGACUCUAUGUUCAAGUAAGAUGAAACUCAAAACUAUUCUUCCCUAAGAUGAAAAGAUUUUAAUUCUUGAAAUAAAAAUUAAUGAAGAUCAAAUGCAAUAUAAUUACCAUUUGGUUCUUGAGCAGAUCAAGAAUGCUAGUAGUCAAGGAUCCGUUUUUUAUUUUUAUUUGUACUAAAGACAAUUUUUGUGAAAGCACUAAAGAAGAGUCCAAAGGCAAAGCACUUUACUGCAGGAGAAGACGAGGAAAAAAGUGUGUGUGUAUAUAUAAAUCCAUAUAGUAUGGACUAUGUCACAGAUUCUGUUUGUAAUAUAGCAAAUGGAAAGCUUGCACGCGUGUUGGAUGAGAGAGAAAAAGCUGCUGAUGCAAGGUCAUGCAAGCUUACCUUGCCAAAGCUGUUACUUGCAGAAGCCGCAACUUAGCCUCAUCCAUAUAUAUAGACACACACACGAGCAAAAUAUUUCUGGCUUUGAGUGAAAUAAACCCAGCCAAAGAGAGGAGUACCGAGACCACGUAAUUUCAACAAAAAGUGCAAGUGGGGCCGCGUACAUCUUCAUGUAGAUCCACAUGACUUGUUUUUCUCAUUUCAAAGACUUCAUUACAAAGUGCAACUUAUUCUUUGAAUGGAUAAUCAAUGAAUUCCGAUCAUAUUAAAAAAUAAAAAUAAGUAAAACCAGAACGCGCUUAGUUUAUUGUCACAGCGCCUCUUGCUUAGUGGUGUAUUAAUCAGCUUGUGUUUUAUGGGCUAAUUUUCUCGGUCAAUGAAUGAGAACAGUCUAAUCUUUGUAUAUAAACAGUAACAAGUAUUGAACUGUCUUGCAGAGGAAACGUUCUCGCAUCUACACAUACACAACGCAAGUAGUAACAACAUCAUGAGCAGCAAAUUAGUUACAGGAGAGGUUUCUGUUAGUUACUCCGCUACCAGACUGAUAUGGGGGAAUGGAAGAAAGCUAUCCGACUUCUUCUGUGAAAAGUUGAGAGAAGAACAUUGAGUUGCAACUCCUAUAUGCCUUGGUCAGACAAAGUCUUUCAAAAUACGACAUCUUUAAUCCAUUCUUCCUAGCAAUAUCCGAUCGAACCCUACUUGGACUGUUAUGGGGUGCACCAGUGACUAUUACUCUCGUGUUCUCGUUAGCCAAAUUACCAAGAACUAUCAUUGUCUCUGGCUCGGUGGCAGAUGAUGCGUCUAUGAGAAAAAUGUGACUAAAAUGCCCAGCAGUUAUUCCUUGAUUAUGAAGGCGAAAGCUACUCACAAAAGUUGAAGAUAUCACCUUAUAUUGCCUCAGUUCCUCAAGUGGAGGACAAGAAAAACACUCCCGUUCAACAAGUGAUACCUGAAAGAUUUCAUCUGAUACCCCAUCCACUUCUCUGAAUGCAGCAUUGGCUCGAAACAUUUCUGAUGCCGGAAUAUCCUUCAUCAAACAUUCCAUUAGCUUAUCACAAGUUCUGUUCCAAGGAGCACAUAUAAGAAUUCGACUCUUAGGCGAGCGCUGACGAAUUUGGAGCACUGCUUCUCGAACGACAUUUCCAGUUUUUGAAAGUACAAAAUUAUUACAGAGUGGACCCUCUAGAAGAUAAGGUGAUUGGCCCUCAAAGCUUAAUAUCUGAUGCACUGCAGAAUUGCUAUCCGAAUCAAGUUUAUAAUUGCUAUAAGGACAAAGUGAUGGGUAAGGGAUGCUCUUUCUGGAGGCACAAUCAGGAAAAACGUAGUUCCUGAAUAAAGAAUCUGAUGCAUCUGCAAUUGCUUCGUGAGCCCGUUUCAAACAGACUCUGUUGAAUGAGAAGCUAACAUCAUAUUUGUGGUUGGGUUGAUGCUGAGAAUGAAAAUCUUCUUCAAAUUCAACUAAAACAGUAGUCCACUUAACCACUCGAUAAAGGAAACCCUGGUCAGGAUUUGAGAACAUAAAUAUUCUGGAAAAGAUGGAAAUAUGAACAAACAACAAACAAAAUGAUUGAAUGAUGAUGACCUAGCUAGUUUUGAUGUUAUCAAUUUGUACCAAUCCUUUCAAGAUUAACCAGAUGGAAAAUGAUCCAGAUAUGUACAAAAAAUAGUUUCAAAGUUACAUGACCAGCAAAAUGCUAAGCUGACUGGGUGUCCUUGUGCGAAAUUAUAAUCUAUCUUAAAACAGAGCAUUUGUUCUUUAAUCUGAAGUUCAAACCAAAAAAAUGGUUGGUUACAUAAAAAUCGAAAGGAAUGGCCAAAUUAGAUGCCACUUAUACGUAAAAAGUUUAUGCACUUGAUCACUUGUAUGAAAUUCAAGAGAUAGUCUUGUUAACUUACCAGGGACUACAGAACAUGAAUCUGUCAGGUCCAGUUGUUGAGUUAGGAAUAAGUUUAAUUUUGAAAUUUUAUUUCUCCUUAUUUAUUUUGGCUAAUUGAUUUAGUUUUCAUCACUUAUUAGUAGCAGAUCUCUCUUCGGUUAGAAGUUGUAUUUUUGGUUCUUUGUUGGCUAAAAUAAAUAGGACUAAAACUACGUAUUUUAUUAUGAUUUUUAUUGAGAUAACAAAAAAUGGGUAUCUCCCUCACUUCUAUCCAUCUCUUUUUCCACACUUGGACUUUUCUCUCUACUCACUUUCACUAUUCUCUACAUUUUUUAUUUUUUCAUUCUCUAUCUUUCUUUUCAAUUUGGCUGAUAUGCACAUUUGUCACCAAAGCACAUCGAGAGAUUUUAUAAAUCAAAAGUUUGAAAGAUCAGGAUACUUACUUGAAACUUCUUGGAUUUGCCACCUGAACGUUGUGCAUAAACAAAAUCUCUAGAUAAAAGAAAGGGUCGCCUCUCAGGAACAGAAUCAAUUUCAAAGGCUACAAAGAGUUUAUCAUCCGUCUCAUCACUCUCCUCCAGAUUCUUGUUCUUGAGUGACUUAUCAUAUAUUGCAGCUUUAUGCAACUCCAAUGUGACAUUGAAUAACUGAAAACCGCUCCACUUCUGAUCACAAUGAAAGCCAAAAAAAUUAUCUAAAAAGUUAGAAAAGCAUGAAAAAUCUUUGAUGAAAGUUUUCAGUCCACAGCAACAUCUAAUCAUCUUAUUAUAAAAAUGUAAGCUUUGGAUAGAGAAGCUUGGAAGAAUACCUACAAGAAUAAAGAUAUGACAGAAUACAUAAAUACAAAUACAACUGAACUGCAUUCACUGAAUAAAAGCAUCUGUCCCAAUAAUUUGCGCCCAUGGGGAAUAAUCUAACCAAAAAAUAACAAUAAAGAAACAACUUACUAUUCAAAAUAUCAGAGUUUCCAAUCUUUUUAUUCAUCAUGCUAUCUUAUGUUAAGCAAAAGACGGUAAAUAGAUUUUGGAUUUCCUUCAGUUUGUUUUCGAACCUGACUGAAAUAUACCUCAAGCCAACACUCUAAAAAUCGUGUUCCUAAACAUUUCAGUUUUAGGAAAUUAGUGAUGUACAAAUUGCACCAAUCUUGUUAUAAUCUGAUGCAAACUAAUAAUUUUUCAGUGGUUUUACUAGGGGUUCUGCAAGUAACAUUAGUUGGGUAUGGAUGGCACCAUUCACUAUGAUAUAACCUAAAGAACUCUUUAAUAAUUUAUGCCGUUUGGUUCUAAAUUUCUUAUACGAACAGGUUAGAUAGAUUCUUCAAGAGGUCCCACAACACAUAAAUUUGAUUCAAUCCAACCUGUUGCCAGUUCAAAACAUAUCCCUUUCAACAGAGCUCCUUAGAAUUCUCAACAAUCUAACCCAUGACUCAACUUUGAUUUAUUGUAUUUGUAUGUACUAUUUAUUUUGAAAAUCUAUUCCAUUAACAUGAUGUACAAUUGCACAUAGAUGACUUCUUCCGAGACCAUUUUAAUUGCAGCAUAACCAUGAGCGAGUGGUAUUGCAUUAAUCACAAUAGAUAUGUCUUCAAUGAAAAGCAAGUAUAUACAUGAUAUGAUGGUAGAAAUGAGAUUAUCUCACAUGAAAUCAUGCAAUAAAGAAAAAUGGGGAUCAAAGGCAUCAUUUAUUAAUCACCUCUUCGUAGAAAUCCUCAGCAUAUAGCAACGCAGCAAAGUAAUCCUUGUAGGUAGAUGGAAGCAAUGGCUUCUUCAAAACUUCUGGCACAAUGUCUUUCUUGAUCAAAUCUUCAAUAUCCUUGGGAAUCUUGUAAUUAGUUGCGCCUUUCUGGACCCAUAUAAAGCUAGCCUUUUUCUGCUGAUUUGUUGAAUCAGUGGGGAGUGGAGAAAGCAUGGGCUUAGAAGAUGAGGAAGCCUUAUGGAACAAUGGAGAAGAUGGCUUCUUCAGAACUUCAUGCACAACUUCUUUCUUCAUGAAAUUUUCAUUAUUCUUGGGAGUCAUGUAAACAGGUAAUGUGCCCUUCUGAACCCAUGUGUCAUUUCCUUUUGUUUGUUGAUUUGUUGAAUCACUGGGGAGGGGAGAAGGAGUAGGAUUAGAAGAUGAAGGGGACUUAUGGGAUGAUGGAUAAGAUGGCUUCGUCAAAACUUCAGGCAUAGCUUCUUUCUUCAUCAAAUUUUCAUUAUUCUUAUGAGUAAAGUAAACAGGCGAUGUGCCCCUCUGAACCCAUACACGGUUUCCUUUUGUUUGUUGAUUAGUACAAUCAUUAGGCACUGGAGAAAGAGCAGGCUUCAAAGAUGAAGGGGUCUUCUGGGACAAAGGAGAAGAUGGCUUCUUCAAAACUUCAGGGGCAGCUUCUUUCUUCAUCAAAUUUUCAUUAUUCUUGGGAGGCAUGUAAACAGAUGAUGAGCCCUCCUGAACCCAUAUAUCCAACAACAAGAAUAUACAACAGAUGAUGGUAGAAAUGAAUAUGUAUUGCAUGAAAUCAAACAAUAAAGUAAAUCAGGAAGAAAGGACAUAAGUAAUUAAUCACCACAUGGUAGAAAUCCUCGGCAUAUGGCAGUGCAGCAAAGUAAUCUUUGUAGGUAGAUGGAGACAACGGCUUCUUCAAAACGUUAGGCACAACGUCUUUCCUACUCAAAUCUUCAAUAUCCUUAGGAAUCUUGUAAUUGGAUGAGCCCUUCUCGACCAAUAAACAGCUAUCCUUUUCCUGCUGGUUUGUUGAAUUAGGGGGGAGGGGAGCAAGGGUAGGCUGAGAAGAUGGAGGAGCCUUCUGCAACAAUGGCUUAUUCAAAACCUUAGGUGCAGUGUCAUUCUUUGUCGAAGUAGAACCAGAUGAAGAUUGAGAUGAUUUAAAGGGAGAAAGAGAUUCAGGUGGCUUAGCAGUUAAUUGAUGUUGAUCAUAAUUAAAUGAAUGUGGUUUGAGUGAUGAUAAAGACUGACUAAGAGCAGACGAUGCAGGGCUAGACAAUGAUGAAGAUGCUUUUGAAGAAGGAAUUGCAGGUUUAGGGAAUGAUGAAGAUGAAUUGCUGGAAGAUGAUGGAGCGGGUCCUUUCGGUGAUAGAAAUGGCUUAGAUGAAGCAGAUGCAGGGUUAGGGAAUGAUGACAAUUGUGUUAAGGACUGUGAUUUAUUAGGUGAUGAUGAACAUGUGUAACAGGAGGAUGAAGGUGGUGAUGGUCUUGAGCUCUUUAAACUCUGAGACACUUCAUUAUUCCCUUUCAGUGACGAUUUGUCACCAUAUUCUGUUUGUUGUGACAUAGCAUUAGGCUGCUUUGUAGUUGGCUCACUAAUUGACACAUUCGGAUAAUAUUCGUAGUAAUAGAUUUUGUUUGAAUCAUGUUGACGCAGAAGAUCGUGAUUAGUAAAGCUAGAAUUCCUGACAGAAGAGUUGUGAUAACUAGAAUUCCUGACAGAAGAGUUGUGAUUAUAUGUUCCAAGUAAUCUCGCCUGGUAGUCCCUUUCAGUAUCAUGAUAAUCUUCAUCGUAACAGCAAAAAAUGCAUCUCAAAAUUUUAACGAGCACAGACAUGUUGCUCUGCAACCAAAGAACAUCCAUUUAUACAUCUUUCCUCUAUUUGGUUUUAUCAAGAAUACAAAUAAACAAUAAUAAUAAUCAGCUGCACUGAGUACAUCUCUAUGAAAUCUAAUUAACUCUACAGUCUGUUUUUAACCAAGACAACUAAAAAUCAAGGAAUAAUUAGAGGAUCAGGCAUAUAAAUUAAAUCAAACAUGCAAAUCAAUUUAUGUUUAGAGAGAGAUGCAGAGAGUGAUAAUUUGAAUCCCUAUAGUUCAUUUGAUGAGAAAUCUUAGGGUUGAAGUUUGUAACAAUGAAUAGAUGAACUUAAUUACACCAAAGAAAGUAAUUAUCAUUCUGAAACUAAAUGAAUGAGAGAAGUCUUCGUCUUUGUUACACAAUUAAAAAUGAUAAGUCUGAACAAGAAAGAGACUGCAUGUUGUUGAAAUGUUAAAAGUAAAUUGAACCCCAUUAAACACUAGAAGCUAUGACUAAUCUAUGCACGACUGUAACCAUAGGCAAAGAUUAUAAACAAUGUUGACAUCAAAGUAAAUGAAGAUCAAAUGGAAGAAGGAUUACCUUCUGGCUGUUGUGCAGAUGUGGGAUUAUGGGGAUGAUUGUCGGAUCAGUUUUUCUGACUUUAUGUUCUUCAAAGAACUCGGUGACAGUGAAAGUGAAGCACUUCAAAAGCCAUGGAUGAGUAGGCAGGAAAAAGAAGAGCUCGUACGUUUCUAGUAUUAUACAAACCCAACCACGUAUCGCCACGUCAUCACUUGCGCCCGCGACAAGGGCUUUAAUGACUAGAUGAGAUGAGACAGUGAAAGCUGACCAAAGCGGAAAUUUUGCGGAGUCCGGGGUUCCAAAUUUCCAUUUCCCACCAAUAAAGCAAUAAAUGUAUUAUUAUAUUUACAAUCAAAAAGAUUAAAAAUAAGCGAGCGUUCAUAUUUUGAGAGAUUUUUCAUUCUUGGGCUUUUAGUGCGAGCGUACGAGGUUCCCCUUCCCACGUGACUUAUUCUUUUAACGGAUAUUAGUGAAUUCCGUUCAUAUUUAAAAAUAAAAAUAAGCAAAACCAGAACGCGCUUAGUUGAUAUUGUCACUGCGCCUCUUGCUUAGCGGUGUAUUCAUCGGCUUGAAUUUUAUGGGCUAAUUUUCUUUGACAACGGAUAAGAACGGUCUAAUCUUUGUAUAUAAGGAAUUGCAAACAGCUGUCACAACCUUAAAUAGAUAAAAGAGUAACGAGUAUUGAACUAUCUUACAGAGAAAAUGUUCUCGCAUCCACACAUACAUACACGAGGCAAGUAGUAACAACAUCAUGAGCAGCAGCAAAUUAGUUACAGGAGAGGUUUCUGUUAGAUACCUCCACUAGCAGAUUGAUAUGGAUGAAUGGAAGAAAACUAUCGGAUUUAUUCUGUGGAAGUUGACAGCCGCAAAUAGAAACAUUGGAUGGAAACUCGUAUAUGCCUCGGAAAAACAAAGUCUUUCAAAAUAUACCAUCUCUAAUCCAUUCUUCUUAUCAAUAUGAGAUCGGAUCCAACGUGGAUGGUCAUAGGAAGCACCAGAGACUAUUACAGUCGUGUUCUCAUUUGCCAAAUUACUGAGAACUAUCAGUGCAUCUGGCUCGAUGGUAGACGAUGCAUCAACAAGAAAAAUGUGAGUAAAAUGUCCAGCAGUAAUGCCUUUAUUGACCAAUGGCAAUGGAGUUUUCUUAAGUGGCUUGACUGGGUUUGCUCCCCAGUUCGAGUCGCAGGGAAGUCGCCUUUGUUGGGAGAACAUGUGCCUCUCGGUUCGAGUAGGGACUUCUAAUCUGGGUUGUGGUACAGGCUUAAAGGUGUCUCCCACAGUUGGGACCCUCCCCAUAAUAGCUCAUGGUUAAGAAAAAAAAAAAAAAAAGGUAAUGCCUUUAUUGUGAAGGCGAAAGCUACUCGCAAAAGUUGAAGAUAUCACCCUGUAUUGUCUCAGUUGCUCAAGUGGAGGACAAGAAAAACACUCCCCUUCAACACCUGGAAGAUGUCAUCUGUUACCUCAUCCAUUUCUCUAAAUGCUAUUUAGAACAUUUGUCAUUGGAUGUUGUUUUGGUGGUUUUAGAAAUUAGAUUGAUAAAAUGCAGUUCCACUUCAAUUUCACCGUAGUAUCUUGUUAGUCGAAUUGGGGUGUUACAACAUUGGCCUGAAACAUAUCUGACUCUGGAAUAACCUUCGUCAAAGUUUUCAUUAGCACAUCACAUGUUCUGUUUGAAUGAGCACAUAUGAGAAUUCGACUAUUUGGUAACCUCUGACAAAUUUGGAGCACUGCUUCUCGAACAACAUUUCCAGUUUUUUGAAAGUACGUACUCAAAUACGUCUUCAUCUUGUAAUUCAUUUUUUCUUUCUAGUCACACACAGUGGAUCCUCCACAAGAUAAGGUGGCUGGCCCUAGGGCCGGCUUUACAAUAUUAGGGGCCUUAGGCGAACUCUUUUUUUUUUUUUUUUUUUAAUGAGGUCUCUUUUUAUUUAGUAAUUUCAAUACUCAAUAAAAUAAUAAAGAAUUGAAAAUUCAUUUCAGUUUUUAUUCUUGAAUUUCAACAAAUAAUCAAGAAGAUUAUAAAAAUUUUCAAAAACAAAAUCUAAAAUUUACCAUUAGAAAUUAUACAAAAAGAAGCAAACGAAUAAAUGAUAACAAUACUAUUUUUAAAUAAAAUAUUUAGAAUGGUAACACAUAAAAAGUUGAAAUCAUGAAUUAAUUGUUAGAUAAUGGAUAUGGACUUUGUAUUUCAAGUAACUAUUUUUUUCUUUUUCUUUUUCUUUUUUGAAUGAACUAAUGCAUGUAAUAAUCUUCAUUGUAGAGAAGAGAACAAGAAAUUUUUCAUCUAUAAUUUUCUAGAUUAUAAGAUUGUUAGUAGAAAUUAAAAGGAAUACUCAAAGUCAAAGAUUCUAAUGUUGAAUAAUUGAGCUUUUUUAAGAAGUUGAAAAGAUAAAAAAUUUACUUAUUUUUAUUAGAAAAACUAAUAAUGAAUAAAUUAAUGGUUAGACAAUAUUAUUAAUUAUAUCUCUUUAACAAUAAGAUAACCAAUUAUAGGUUUUUAUAUAAAAUAAUAAUAAUUAUUAAUUAUAUGAUAAUUAUUAAUUAGAGAUAUGUCUAAUAGGCUUUUCUACCACACAUAAUUUUUUUAAAAGAUUUUUAUUAACUAGAGAAUUAUUAUUAAUACUAAAAAACUGAAGUCUUUUUAAAAUUUGAAACUUUAGGUGACUGCUUUGUUCGCCUAUAUUUAAAGCCACCCAUGACUGGCCCUGUAAGCUCAAUGUCUGACCGCUGACGCACUGCAGAAUUGCCAUCCAAAUCAAGUUUACAAUUGCCGUAAAAGUGAGGUUCUGACGAAGGUAUAUGUUUACGACAGGCAAAAACAGGGAAAAGGCAGUUCUGGAAUAACUGAUCUGACACAGCUGCAGUUGACUGGUGAGCCCGUUUCAAACACUCUGUUGAAUGAGAAGCUAAUAUCAUAUUUGCAGUUCUGUUGGUGCUGAGAAUAAAAUUCCUUUUUCAAAUUCAACCAACACGGUAGUACCCUUCACCACUCGACAAAGAAUACCCCGGUCAGGUAUUCUGGAAAAGAUGGAGGUAUGAAACCAUAAAACAAAAUGACUAAGUCCAAGCUACAUUACAUGUUACCACUUUGUACAAAUUCAAUCGAGAUUAACCAGAUGGAAAUGGGUCUCAAACGUAGAAAAAUUAGUUUCCAAAUUGCAUGACUGGAAAAAGAUCAAAUAAUUUCUAUCAAGGAAAUAUCAAUCAGGCUUAGUUUGGCUCGUCACUAAACUCAAUGGAUGUCCUUGUGCAAAAAUUAUAAUAUGUUCUUAAACAGUGCAUUUGUUCCUCAACUGAAGUUCAAACUGAAAAAUAAUGGUUGGAUUGAUAAAAUUUGAAUGAAACGGCCAUAUAAGGUCAGACUUCAAUGUGUGGUCAUGUAAAAAAUUUAUGCACUUACUCACUUGUAUGAAAAAUCUAGCAGAAGUUUAUGUUGAUUUGUUAGGAUGCCACACACAACAAUUAAAUUAUAAUCUGUCAGGUUCAGUCGCUUCCAUCAAAAUGACACAAUGAUGUAGAAUGAAGUUAUAUAGAUUUAGGAAAUGCUGAAUAAGGAGUUACCUUGGUUGAUUUAUUUUUUCAUCAUGUAUUACUAGUAGAUUUUGUUUUUGCUAAGAAGUUGAUUAUGGUCUGCCAUUAUUAGUUAUCUGUUGGCCACAAUAAUAGGGCAUUAAUUUUUGUUUUAUAAAUGAUAGUUAUUGGAAUAAUGAAAAAUGGGUAUCUCCCUUUCUUCUCUCUAUUUCUUUUUCCACUUAUGGGCUCUUUUUUCUACUCUAUCACUAAUCUCUCCUUUCUUAUUGUCCUACCUCACGCUCCCAUUCUUACAAGAAGUGUGAAAUUAGCAGGCUUUCAAAAUUCGAAUGGCAUUGUUAAAAUUUUAUUUUGAAAUGUGUAACUAUAAUAUUACUACAAAAAUUUCAAAAUUUAGGGAGAAAGAGGCAUAAAAUAGAAUUUUCAAUUUGGCUUAUAUGCAAAUCAACCACACUAAAGCACGGCAAGAGAUUCUACAAAUUAUAUGUUGGUGAGAUAAGGAGACUUACUUGAAACUUCCUUGAUAUUCCACCUGAACAUUGUGCAUAAACAAAAUCCCUAGAUAAGAGAAAUGGCCGUUUCCCAGGAACAGAAUCAAUUUCGAAGGUUACAAAGAAUCUAACAUCUUUCUUAUCAUGCUUCUUCAAAUGCUUGUUCUUGAGUGACUUAGCAUAUAGAGUAGCUUCACCUAAUUCCAACGUUACAUUCAAUAGCUGAAAAUUUCUCCACUUCUGAUCAAAUCAAAGACAUAAAAUACAAGUAAAGUUCCUACAGAGAAGCACAAAUAAAGAUAUGGGAAAAACACAUAAAUACAAGUACAAUUGGACCCAUUUAAGAAGGGAAAAUGAAAAUGCAUCUGUCCCACCCUUAUUUUUAUAUCUUAUGUGAAAGAAUUUAUAUUCAGUUGUUAUGACCCAACCCAAACUUGGCAAAAUAUUGUCCGUUUUGGGCCUUAAUAAGGCCCGUAUGGUUUUGUUCCUGGGGUGCCCAUACACCCCAAAACGCGUUUUGCCAAUUAAUGUGUAGAUCACCCCUUAUAUACCCAACAUCUCUCCCGUGCUUUGCUAAUGUGAGAUUUGCCUAGGGUGCACAUCAGUAGUUUGUUUCUCCACAGAAUCAUCUGGGCAAAAUAUAAGAAUUAAAAAAAAAUACUGGUCACAAUAUCUGAAAUUUGUAAUUAUUUGUAUUUAUCAUGUCAUCUCAUGUAAAUUAAAAUGCAGUAAAAUAUCAAAGUAUAUAGAAAGUCUAAAGCAACUAUGGAUUAUGGAUGUCCCGCAAUUUGUUUUCCCACCUGAGUGAAGCAAACCCCAAUCCAACACUCUCCAAAUUAUGUUUCUAAACAUUUCACUAUUUCAGUCACUUGUAUUAAUAUAAUUAAGGAAAAUAAGUGAUGAGCAAAUAGCACCAAUCUUGUUAAUAUGAUCUGAUACACUGUAAUAAUUUCUCAUUGGUUUUUCAAGGGGUUCUGUAAGGAAACUAGUUGGGCGUGGAUAGCGCCAUUCUUUGUAAAAUAAUAUAAUCCAUUCUAAUAAUCUCUGCUGUUUGGUUCUAUUUCUUACACGGACGGGUUAGAUAGAUUCUUUAAGAGGUCCCAGAAUAACGGAAAUCUGGCUUAAUACAACCUGCUACCAGCCCAAAUCAUAUCCUUUCUAACAGAGCUCCCUAGAUUUUUUAAUGCUCCCAUGCGUCAACUUUGAUUCAUUGUAAAUUGUACUAGCUAUUUUGAAAUCUUUUCCAUAACUAUGAUGUACAUAGAUUACUUAAUCAGAAACCAUCUUAAUUGCAGCAUAACCAUGAGUGAGUGGUACGGCAUUAAUCAGAACAAAUAUGUCUUCAAUGAAAAGAAAUUAUAUACAACAUAUGAUAGUAGAAGUGAGGUUGUAUCGCGUGAAAUCAGACAAUAAAGUAAAACAGGAAGAAAGGGCAUAAUUAAUUAGUCACCUCAUAGUAGAAAUCCUCGGCAUAUAGCCGUGCAGCAAAGUAAUCUUUGUGGGUAGAGGGAGACAAUGGCUUCUUCAAAGCGUCAGGCACAAUGUCUUUCUUAACCAAAUCUUCAAUAUCCUUAGGAAUCUUGUAAUUGGAUGCGCCCUUCUCAACCAAUAAAUAGCUAUCAUUUUUCUGCUGAUUUGUUGAAUCAGAAGGGAAUGGAGAAAGGGUAGGCUGAGAAGAUGAAGGAGCCUUCUGAGACAAUGGCUUCUUCAAAACUUUAGGCGCUGCGUCUUUCGUUGUCAAAGUAGAACCAGAUAGAGAUUGAGAGGAUUUACGGGGAGAUGGAGAUGCUGGUGGCUUAGCACGUAAUUGAUGUUGUUCAGAAUUAAAUGAAGGUGGUUUAGGUGAUGAUAAAGAUUGACUGAGAGCAGACAGUGCAGGGUUAGAUAACGACAAAGAUGCUUGGGAUGAAGGAUGCAGGUUAUGAAGUGCUAGAAGAUGACGGUGGGGGCCCUUUUGGUGAUAGAAAUGGCGUAGACAAAGCAGAUGCAGGUUCGGGGAAUGAUGACAGUUGCGUUAAGGACUGUGAUUUAUUAGGUGAUGAUGAACAUGUGUAAUAGGAGGAUGAAGGUGGUGGUGGUCUUGAGCUCUUCAAACUGAGACUCUUCAUUAUUCCCUUUCAGUGACGACUUGUUACCAUAUUCGGAUUGCUGUGACAUAGCAUUAGGCUGCUGUGUAGUUUGUUUACUAAUUGAUACAUGCGGGUAAUAUCCAUAGUAAUAGAAUUUGCUUGGAUCAUCUCGACGCAGUAGAUCGUGGUUAGUAAAACUAGAAUUCCUGAGAGAAGUGUUGUGAUUCGAUGUUCCGAGUAGAGAGUUUGUCUCCCAGGAGCCCUUUCAGUUUCAUGACAAUCUUUAUUGGAACAGCAAAGAAUGCAUCUCAAAAUUUCAACGAACACAGACAUGCUGUUCUGCAACCAAAGAACAUCCAUUUAUGCAUCUUUCCUUUAUUUGGUUUUAUCAAAAAUAUAACAAUAAUCAGCCGCACUGAGUAGAGCUCUAUAAAAUCUAAUUAACUCCACAGUCUAGGCAAGUAACAAUCAAGGAAUAAUUAGAGGAUCAGGCAUAUUAGUUAAAUCAACAGCAAAUCAAUUUAUGUUUAGAGAGAGAUGCAGAGAGUGAUAGUUUGAAUCCCUAUAGUUCAUUUGAUGAGAAAUCUUAGGGUUGAAGUUUGUAACAAUCAAUAGAUAAACUUAAUUAAACCAAUGUAAGUAAUUAUCAUUCUGAAACUAAAUGAAUGAGAGAACUCUGUGUACUUGUUAGACAAUUAAAAAUAAUAAAUCUGAACAAGAGACUGCAUGUUGUUGAAAUGUUAAAAGUAUUUUACACCCCAUUAAAUACUAAAAGCUAUGACCAAGCAAUACACGAAUGUAAGCGGAGGCCAAGAUUAUAAACGAUGUUGACAUCAAAGUAAAUGAAGAUCAAAUGGAAGAAGGGCUACCUUCUGGCUGUUGUGCCGGAUUGUCGAGAUGACUAAUAAUCCAGAGAUGGAGUACUGUGACCUGUAUACAAUCUAUGAAGACUUUAAUUUUGGUUAAUCUAUGAAAAUGAAAACAAUCAAUCAUCAUGGAAUUGGACUGCAUGAAUUAGAUAGAGCAAUAAGUGCAAAAGCAACAGAUCAAAGAAAUGUUCUUACAUUCACACAUUUACAACCAGGCACAGUAGUAACAAAUUCAUGGAAGUAAACUAAGUUACAACAGAGGUUAUUGUUACUGCAGUACUCAAAGUUUACAGCAUAGUAAUGAACAUUGGAUUGAAAUUGCUAUAGGUCUUGGUGGCAUGAAGUCUUUCAAAAUAUGACACCCUUAAUCCAUUCUUCCUAGCAAUAUCGGAGCGGACCCAACUCGUACGGUUAUUAGGAGCACCGGUGAGUAUCAUGGUCGUGUUCUCAUUAGCCAAAUUUGUGAGAGCUAUCAUUGUCUCUGGCUCAGUAGCAGAUGAGGCAUCAAGAAGAAAAAUGUGACUAAAAUGCCCAGCAGGUAUGCCCUCGUUGUGAAGGCGAAAGCUGCUUGUAAAAGUUGAGAAUAUUACCCUGAAUUGCAUCAAUUCCUGAAGUGAAGGCAAUUGAAAACACUCCCCCCCUUCAUAAAGGCACAAGGGGAGGAUGUCAACUGGUACCCCAUCUACCUCUCUGAAUGCAGCGUUGGCUCGAAACAUAUCAGACUUUGGAAUCUUCUUCUUCAAACUUCUCAUUAAUACAUCACCUGUUCUAUUUAUAGGAGCACAGACUAGAAUUCGACACUUAGAUGACCUCUUAUAAAUUUCAAGUACUGCUUCUCGAACAACCAAUCCAGUUUUCGAUAGAUUGUCACUAGUUGCACAGAGUGGACCCUCUACAAGAUAAGGUGGCCUCCCAUGUAAGCUUAGGAUCCGACGAACUGCAGAGUUGCCAUCUGAGUCAAGGUUACGAUUACCAAAAAGACAAGUUUCUGAGGAACUGAUGUUCUUUCUAGUGGUAAAAUCAGGAAACAGGUAGUUCUCAAAUAAAGAACGUGAUGCAGCUGCAAUUGCUUGGUGAGCUCGUUUCAAACAGACUCGGUUGAAUGAGAAGCUAAUAUCGUAUCUGUACUUUGGAUGAUGCAGUGAAUAAAAAUCUUCUUCAAACUCAACCAACACUACGU
rnacentral:lncRNA from 1 species